rnacentral:rRNA from 1 species
GACGAACGCUGGCGGCGUGCCUAAUACAUGCAAGUAGAACGCUGAAGAGAGGAGCUUGCUCUUCUUGGGUGAGUUGCGAACGGGUGAGUAACGCGUAGGUAACCUGCCUUGUAGCGGGGGAUAACUAUUGGAAACGAUAGCUAAUACCGCAUAACAAUGGAUGACACAUGUCAUUUAUUUGAAAGGGGCAAUUGCUCCACUAAAAGAUGGACCUGCGUUGUAUUAGCUAGUAGGUGAGGUAACGGCUCACCUAGGCGACGAUACAUAGCCGACCUGAGAGGGUGAUCGGCCACACUGGGACUGAGACACGGCCCAGACUCCUACGGGAGGCAGCAGUAGGGAAUCUUCGGCAAUGGGGGCAACCCUGACCGAGCAACGCCGCGUGAGUGAAGAAGGUUUUCGGAUCGUAAAGCUCUGUUGUAAGUCAAGAACGAGUGUGAGAGUGGAAAGUUCACACUGUGACGGUAGCUGACCAGAAAGGGACGGCUAACUACGUG